GAUGAACGCUGGCGGCGUGCCUAAUACAUGCAAGUCGAGCGAACGGACGAGAAGCUUGCUUUUCUGAUGUUAGCGGCGGACGGGUGAGUAACACGUGGAUAACCUACCUAUAAGACUGGGAUAACUUCGGGAAACCGGAGCUAAUACCGGAUAAUAUUUUGAACCGCAUGGUUCAAAAGUGUAAGACGGUCUUGCUGUCACUUAUAGAUGGAUCCGCGCUGCAUUAGCUAGUUGGUAAGGUAACGGCUUACCAAGGCAACGAUGCAGAGCCGACCUGAGAGGGUGAUCGGCCAGACUGGAACUGAGACACGGUCCAGACUCCUACGGGAGGCAGCAGUAGGGAAUCUUGCGCAAUGGGCGAAAGCCUGACGGAGCAACGCCGCGUGAGUGAUGAAGGUCUUCGGAUCGUAAAACUCUGUUAUUAGGGAAGAACAUAUGUGUAAGUAACUGUGCACAUCUUGACGGUACCUAAUCAGAAAGCCACGGCUAACUACGUG
rnacentral:rRNA from 1 species